rnacentral:pre_miRNA from 1 species
CGUUAAAAAUUUCAUUCAUUUGUACGGUUAAAAACUGGCGUGAUUGAAAAAAUAAUCGAAAAUGGCAUGUUGUACCACAUGUACCUCAUACUGAUGUAAGAAGCACUUUUUAUCAAUAGAAAUAGAUAGAAUUUUUAAUA